UACGUAGGGUGCGAGCGUUGUCCGGAAUUAUUGGGCGUAAAGAGCUUGUAGGCGGUCUGUCGCGUCUGCUGUGAAAAUCCGGGGCUCAACCCCGGACUUGCAGUGGGUACGGGCAGACUAGAGUGUGGUAGGGGAGACUGGAAUUCCUGGUGUAGCGGUGAAAUGCGCAGAUAUCAGGAGGAACACCGAUGGCGAAGGCAGGUCACUGGGCCGCAACUGACG
rnacentral:rRNA from 1 species